UCAGGCCUAACACAUGCAAGUCGAGCGCGCCUUUCGGGGUGAGCGGCGGACGGGUUAGUAACGCGUGGGAAUAUGCCCUUUGGUACGGAAUAGCCUCUGGAAACGGAGAGUAAUACCGUAUGAGCCCUUCGGGGGAAAGAUUUAUCGCCAAAGGAUUAGCCCGCGUUAGAUUAGGUAGUUGGUGGGGUAAUGGCCUACCAAGCCUACGAUCUAUAGCUGGUUUUAGAGGAUGAUCAGCAACACUGGGACUGAGACACGGCCCAGACUCCUACGGGAGGCAGCAGUGGGGAAUCUUGGACAAUGGGGGCAACCCUGAUCCAGCCAUGCCGCGUGAGUGAUGAAGGCCUUAGGGUCGUAAAGCUCUUUCGCCUGUGAAGAUAAUGACGGUAGCAGGUAAAGAAACCCCGGCUAACUCCGUGCCAGCAGCCGCGGUAAUACGGAGGGGGUUAGCGUUGUUCGGAAUUACUGGGCGUAAAGCGCACGUAGGCGGACUGGAAAGUUGGGGGUGAAAUCCCGGGGCUCAACCCCGGAACUGCCUCCAAAACUAUCAGUCUAGAGUUCGAGAGAGGUGAGUGGAAUUCCGAGUGUAGAGGUGAAAUUCGUAGAUAUUCGGAGGAACACCAGUGGCGAAGGCGGCUCACUGGCUCGAUACUGACGCUGAGGUGCGAAAGUGUGGGGAGCAAACAGGAUUAGAUACCCU
rnacentral:rRNA from 1 species